UUGUAAACAAUGUUUACAAAUUUUCUUUGCGGCAUUUGUGAGAAAAUAAUCGUGCUCCGUAAUUUUUUAAUUUUUGACCAAAAGAAACAUUACAAAAUGGUGAAACAUUGUAUUGUGCGUGGAUGUAAAAGAGAUUUAGCAUCUGAUCGCUAAAAUAGAAUGAAUUACUGAAAAACAAUUUGCGUCAAUCAUCUUUAUUCAAAGUACCAAACUACCAAAGAAUAACGUAUUGAGGGAAAAUGGGUAAAAGCUUUAUCACAACAAUUGACUCCAAAUCAGUUUGUGUGAGAAGCACUUUCGCGAAGAAGAUAUUAAGAAAAUUGAUCGAUUGAUUAUUAAUGGAGCUGAAAUUAUCAUCCCUCGCGAAAGGUGGACUCUUUUGAAUGACAAUGUCAUUCCAAUAAACCCUCACGAUUUGGAAAAGGACAUUUCUGAAGAGCAAGUUCCAAUAGUGCAAAAUGACAUUAAUAACUGACCAAUCGAAAAACCUGGAUUAUACACAACCCUUGUUAAAAAUCGUUCAAGGUAACAAUUUAAAAGAAGACUCUCAACCAGCAGGACCCCAUCAUAUGGAAUCACCAGAGAUUGUAACAGCUAAUAAUGUAAAAGACUUAGAUAUUAUUAUGUUUAUCAUAUUGUUAUAGAUUUGCGAGAUUUUAAUAUUUUUUUGUACAUAAAUUUCAACAUUAGGUCAUUAUCUCGAACAUGUCUCCACCAUCAUGUGUUACACUAGAAGAGAUCCAUGCUCAUUUUCACUCAAUACUGAUCCAAGGAUGGUGUUAUUUUGCUUGUGAUGAAGAGUUGAUAUUAUAUAAGAUAUGAAUUUUACUAUUUCCAAUAAUCUUUCAGUGAAGGUAAAUAAUUUUCUCAUGCUUUUUUGAAUAAUUUUAUCUAUUCAUAAUGCAUACAGAGCAUUUUAUAAAAUUUAUUAAGUUUUGCUCACAAUCAUUUCUGAUACAACAGGUUUCUUUCUCUCAACAACCAUAAAUUGUUAUUGAUACUACAUCAUCUAUAGAAGAUAUAAAAAUGUAUAUGGAAACUCUGCAAGCGACUAUUUUAUGUAAAGGAACUGACAUACACUAUAGGUACGAUAUAUUUUCUUUCAUUUCUUUUAAUAUAAAUAAAAAUCUCAUACCAUUACACAUUCGGUGAAAAUUGAAAAUAAACUUAAAGAUUCACCUAAAUCGAGGCUCCAUCUAGAACUGUGACACCUGAAGUAAAAACAAGCAUCAAGUACAUCUUUUAGUAGUAGUGUGAAAAGAAAGAAAGUAUCUACAUUACCUUUGAAAAAUUCCAAAUCAUCUUGUAAGUCAAUAGAUAUGUGUUUUAGGUAGCAGAUUUUUUUUGUAAUUAUCUAACUGUAUGCAAAUGAACUUGUAAAUAAUGUAAAUACAUU
rnacentral:misc_RNA from 1 species